rnacentral:rRNA from 1 species
UACGUAUGGGGCAAGCGUUAUCCGGAUUUACUGGGUGUAAAGGGAGCGUAGGCGGCGGGGCAAGCCUGAUGUGAAAGCCCGGGGCUCAACCCCGGGACUGCAUUGGGAACUGUCCUGCUGGAGUGCCGGAGGGGCAGGCGGAAUUCCUAGUGUAGCGGUGAAAUGCGUAGAUAUUAGGAGGAACACCAGUGGCGAAGGCGGCCUGCUGGACGGUGACUGACGCUGAGGCUCGAAAGCGUGGGGAGCAAACAGG